rnacentral:rRNA from 1 species
UACAGAGGGUGCAAGCGUUAAUCGGAGUUACUGGGCGUAAAGGGCGCGUAGGCGGCUUGUUAAGUGAGAUGUGAAAUCCCCGGGCUUAACUCGGAACGGUCAAGUGAUACUGUCGUGCUAGAGUACAGAAGGGGCAACUGGAAUUCUCGGUGUAGCGGUGAAAUGCGUAGAUAUCUGGAGGAACACCUGUGGCGAAAGCGGCGCACUGGACCAUAACUGACGCUGAGGCGCGAAAGCUAGGGGAGCAAACAGG